rnacentral:lncRNA from 1 species
CGCCCACCCGCGCCCUCGCCCCUCCCGGUGCCGCCCCCGCUCCUCUCGGCUCCCUACCCGUCUCCCUCUGCGCCGGGCACGGCGGGCCCUACCCCAUGGGCGAGGUGGCGAGGGCAGAAAAUCCUUGGGGCGGCGGCGAGCGGGGGCGAGGACCCAGCUGCAGCCUCUGGGGCGUCUCCGGAAAGUUUAGCGCCUGAGGGAGUGAACUCUGGAGCUGACCUUCCUGGUCUCUAAGCCAUGUGUCCCCGGUGGGAUUUGGCUGUUCACAGUUCUUGGUUUAGCAUCUUCUUCUGGAAACAACCAAGGGAGGCAGGCCAGACAAAGAAUCCCACCAUUACCAUUUUAAACCAAGCUGCUAUCAUCUCCAGCCUGGGAAGAUUAGCCCUGAGCGAACAUCUGCUGCCGAUCCUCCUGGUUUUGCUGAGGAAGACUGGCCCUGAGCUAACAUCCGUGCCCAUCUUCCUCUAUUUUAUAUGUGGGACGCCUGCCACAGCAUGGCUUGAUAAGCAGUGCCAUGUCCGCACUUGGGAUCCGAACUGGUGAACCCUGAGCCCCCAAACUGGAACAUGCGAACUUAACUGCUGUGCCACUGGGCUGGCCCCCCCCAAAAUACAAUAAAAAUAAAAAUUGUACAGUUUAAGGGCAUUAAGUACAUUUACAAUGCUGUGAAACCAUUACCACUAUCUAGUUCCAGAACAUUUUCAUCAUCCCAAAAGGAAACCCUAUACUCAUUAAGUGGUGACUUUUCAUCCCCGUUUCAAUAACUUGAUAACCAUAAUUUUUUUAAGCCAUUUUAUCUUCUGUCACUUUAUAAAAGUUUGGGUUGAGUAUCUUAUCCAGUCAGCCUGAUGCCCCAGAAAAAAAGAAUCAUGACAGCUUCCAAGAAAUCCAGUGGAAAUAACUGUAUUGUCAUAUAUGUCAUAACUGGUUAAAAAAAC